rnacentral:lncRNA from 1 species
UUGGCACAAAGGAUAAUUAAUCAUACCAUGAAUUGCUGAAGACAGAAGAUGAAAAGCAGAUUCCGUAGACUGGAGACAGGAAAAACCUUUGAAGGCUGUCAACACCUGAAGAGCCAUUGCCUAAAUGGAACAAUGGAGCCUCUGAUUUGCUAUUUCCAGUAAAAGAGGAUUCCGUCUGCAUCAGUUGCAGCAGAAGUUGUGUAUGGCAUGCGUAACUGCUGAAAAACAACUGUCCUAACAGGUAUUUUGACAUCUAAUAUAUUUGUUCUAUUAACUUAAGCU